CUCCCAAGCAUACCUCAGAGAACUAUGCAACCGUGAUGGGCUGAGGCAUGACUCUGUAACACAGGAGGAAGGUUUCAAUGAAGGAAGCUCUCAACCCUAAGAAGGGGGUUCCUAAGUCUUCACAUCCUCUGUGACUGUCACAAGCGGCUUCCAACACGCAUAGCUACUGCCAUAAACAUACGUGUGACGUCCAGCCUGCAUGCUGGGUGUGAUGAGCCAUCCAGCCCUCCAGCACCUUUCCUCCCGGGAGCUUCUGAGAAAGUAAGACAUGGCUUCCACGUGGAGACAGACCCGCAGCAACAUCAAGUGACUGAACUGCCUCAUGGUCACCUUCCGUUUCCUCAAAAUCUACUUACGCACACAGCACAGGACCCUGUGCUUUCCCAAAGAACUGGAAGCGCAAUCUUUCUCUCCGUAGCAGGUUGAGUGAAAUGCCAGAGAGGAGUAAGAGCGAGGCAGGGCGGGCUCACGGGACGGCAGAGGAGGGCCCGGCACACUCGGGGCUGAGGGCAGGAGAGGGAAAGUAAGCAUCAAAGAAAGUUCGGAGUCACCCCAUAGGGGUAAAGUCAAAAAGAAGCAACAACGGUUGUGGCUCAUGACGGAAAUGAAGCUUCCAGGAAGGAGAAGUUUGGGUAAAAUUCUGCACCCAAAACUCAUCUUACUUCCCACCACUUUAACACAUGACACAGAAACAAUGGCAGCCCAAACAAUACAGGAUGAGAGCAAAGAUGGAGGGGUGCUUGCUAUUCCACUAUUACAUGAAACGGUUCCAUUUAGUCCAACCCUUCGGACUUACUGAAGCCAUCAAGUCUCUAGAGUACAAUGGCCUGAUGUUGGGUUGGCAAGAAGAUUCUGAGUCUGCAUCUGCAUUACAGUAGGCCAGCAUUGUGGGGUGGGCUUCAUCCUGUCACCUGCUCCUCAGAGCUCGAGGACCCAUGAAGGGACUGGGGAAACGACAGAAGUUCCCAGUCUUACCAUUCUGACUGAAAGCUUUUAGAUGGUGGCUACGCACAAAGAAAGGUGAUUCUAGGUGGCCUCAGCUGGACAGCCCAUCCCUGUGACGACCUUCACAGGGUUAAAAUGUCUGGUAACACAGACACGCACGCUCUGUCUCCUGCUGCUCCGUGUCGGCUACUGCUUAUGUUUAGAGUCUCUCUGAGUUUCUAGUUUUGGGGAGAUGACUCAGAGAACUUGAGGACCUGGCUUUGAUUGGAAGAUGGGAAUCAGAGACAGAGACAGGGGGAUCCCUGGAGCUAACUAGCUACUCUAGCUUUGUCAGGAAGCCUCAAGUCCAAGUGAGAGCUCUGUCUUUCUAAACAAGGUAGAGGGUUUCUGGAGGUAUUAGCCUAGGUUGACCUCUGUCCUUCACGCACACACACCACAUGCCUCCACACACACAAAAGUAAACCAAGAGGGUGUAUGGCAACAGUCUCACUUGAACUUAACAUGCUGGAGUGUAAACACCCCACUCCCUGGCUCACUCUCUCCCUUUAAGGUCACCUUUUCACUCCUUAAGGAUCUCCUGGGUCACAUGCUACGAUGAGACAAGUUACCUCCAUAACCUAACACACAGAGGUGGGGGUCUCAGUCAGCAGAAACCAGAGCCAGCCCGUGGGAUGUCUAGCUAGGGCUAUUAAUUAAUUAAUUAAUUAAGAGGAGCUCUCUUAUUUUAAAGUCAGUAGCUAGGACUUUGGAGCUGGCUGGGCUUAAGAAGAUAUUUCCACCUUUUUUUUCCCUCAUUAACAAUUCAUUUCAAAUCAGUGGGCGAAGCAAAACAUACUCGGUUAGUUAGAGAUUCCACGCCCAGUGACACAGGAGAAUUUCAGAAGGGCCCGGCCCAGUGAGCUGAGUGGACCUUCUGGAAGCUGGGCUUUUGGAGAAGCAAGAUGGCAGCUUUAUUCUGAGCACCCCACGGACUCAACAGCCAGGCAGCUUCUCAACAAAGACCCCCCAGGCAUCACUGAACACUUUUGGAAUCUAUGAAGACGGCGUAUUCAAGCUGAGUACAUCUAGAGUAACCUCCAGCAGCCAGGAGAUAAACUCUUCAUGCAAUUGUUGAGAACGGAUGAAGAAAGAUGAGCCGGUGGACCCCGAUGGAGAAGUGAGCCCUAGUCAGAAUGCAGCUGACUAGCUAGGCCUUGCAUUCCCAACCUUCAGCACCGUAACAGAGAACGCCAGCAUUCCUGCAAAGGUGAGAUGGUAACACAAGGCUGGUGUGCCUGCCAUCCAGGGCCUCCACUCUGAACUCAACCGCAAAUGGUGGGGCUGACCACCAGGCUGAAGACCUGGCCUUCCAUACUUGAAGUGUCCAGUCCUAAGGUACAGACAUAUGUGUGUACUGGUGCCGUUGUGGUCAGUACAGUGGUGGGUGGGGAAGUUAUAAUUAAUAAAUGCUUGAGCCACACCCUAAUUUACCAGAGGUUACAGAUGCCAUUUUCUGCAGCGCUUCCCAGCUCCAAACUCUGCAUUGACUAUCCUACCUAAUACAUCAAACUUGUUGAUGUUUCAGACCACCUCCUUCACUUCCCAGACACACAGCAACAUCAAAAAAGUCUAAGCCCUUACCUGACGUAACACCCUGGAGCUCAAGCUGUCUGCAGGGAGGCCUCUAUCUACCUUCAUACCAUAAAGCAAUCUGCUCAGAGGUGAACUUGCUGAGUGCCCGUCAGCACAAAACCAGCGUGAAUGUCACCACUUUAAAGAAAUGGACUCGUCGGAGGUUCCCAAAUAUCGAAUAUUGGAACAGUAGGAUCCAAGUUGCUCGACAGCUCAGAGUCAGAGAAGAACGAAGGAAAAGAGCUGAGCAGAGUAGAGGCUGGAGCUAUCUGCGUCCUUCAGUAUGUACGGUGUGCUCGGUGCUUCCCGGGCACAAGCCCAAGGAUUCAUCGGUACUCUUCCUCUCAGCUUCACACAACAAAACCCUCCCAAGGCCCUUGCAGUGAGCCCAGGGCCCUUGCAGUGAGCCCAGGGCCCUUGCAGUGAGCCCAGGGCCCUUGCAGUGAGCCCAGGUCAAUCUUGAGAGUCAGUGUUUGAAAAAUAAACCAAACAGUGUCCAAGUUCCAUGCGCUUAGGCACUGGACAACCAACCUUUCAGCAGACACAGCACAGUGUACGUGAAAUGCUGGCUCAGGAGCUACACACGCCAGGCUCCUUCCCAUGCAGUCGCUUCUGCCUGCUGCUCAGAUUCUCCAUACUAUCUUGUUUUCUUUAGUUCUACUUUUAGGGCUAGCUCUGUCCCCUGAUAUGGAGCCUUCUGAAAGCCAGCAGUGUCAAGCCCCACAUGCAAAGGAGCAACAGAGAGCUGACUGUUGAUAGCUG